GACGAACGCUGGCGGCGUGCUUAACACAUGCAAGUCGAACGGAAAGGCCCUGCUUUUGUGGGGUGCUCGAGUGGCGAACGGGUGAGUAACACGUGAGUAACCUGCCCUUGACUUUGGGAUAACUUCAGGAAACUGGGGCUAAUACCGGAUAGGAGCUCCUGCUGCAUGGUGGGGGUUGGAAAGUUUCGGCGGUUGGGGAUGGACUCGCGGCUUAUCAGCUUGUUGGUGGGGUAGUGGCUUACCAAGGCUUUGACGGGUAGCCGGCCUGAGAGGGUGACCGGCCACAUUGGGACUGAGGUACGGCCCAGAAUCCUACGGGAGGCAGCAGGGGGGAAUAUUGCAACAUGGGCGGAAGCCUGAUGCAGCAACGCCGCGUGCGGGAUGACGGCCUUCGGGUUGUAAAACGCUUUCGCCUGUGACGAAGCGUGAGUGACGGUAAUGGGUAAAGAAGCAACGGCUAACUACGUG
rnacentral:rRNA from 1 species